CGAAGAAAUCUACAAGGACUCAAUAAUAUCAGAGGAAGAAUGACUUUACUCAACUGUCAUUUUGAUAGAAGAAAUCAGGAAUGAGAAGUUGAGUCUCUUCUAUUCCCUUUUCUCCUAGGAAACUGACUGCCUUCAAGGAGAGGAGCCUUGGAUUCUCCACUGGAGGAGAAGCUACGCUGCAGAGAACACAGCUACUGCAAUGCUGUCAGCAGAUCUGGGUGUCCUGCACCUCACAGACGCACAGAGAACAUGCUGCAUUUGUUAUUCCUGAACGAAUGAAGGAGUGAAUAAAUGAAUGAAAC
rnacentral:lncRNA from 1 species